rnacentral:snRNA from 1 species
GUGCUUGUUUCGGCAGCAUACAUACUAAAACUAGAAUGGUACAGAAAAGAUUAGCAUGGCCUUUGGGCAAGGAUGACAUGCAAAUCUGUGAAGCAUUUUAAAAGAAA